ACUGAAAUAGCUCAGUUGGGAGAGCGUUAGACUAUAGAUCGAAAAGUUUCUGGUUCGAUCCCUGGUUUCGGCA
rnacentral:tRNA from 1 species